UAUGAUCAGACUGAAUUAUUUUUAGGGCAUGUUUGGUUCAUGAUUAGAAUAGCAAUAGGAAAUGGAAUUGGAUUGCUUUGGAAUGAAAAAUGGAAUGAUGAAUCAUUCAAAAAUAUUUGAUUCAUUAUUGGAAUGAAAAUCGGAAUAAAAAUUAAAAAUUUUUGAGAGAGGGUUUUGAUUAAGAGAGAGAAAAGUGAUGAAGGGAGAGGAGGUAGGUGUUGAUGAAAGAGGAUUUUGAAUAGUUUACUUUGGUAUGAGCCAAUCCGGGAUUCAAAGCCGGAUUGGAUCAUAAGGGCAUGUUUGGUUCAUGAUUGGAAUAGAAAUGGAAAAUAAAAUUGGAUUGCUUUGGAAUGGAAAAUAGAAUGACGAAUCAUCCAAAAAUGUUUGGUUCAUUAUUGGAAUGGAAAUCGGAAUGAAAAUUUAAAAUUUUUGAGAGAGGGUUUUGAUUAAGAUAGAGGAAAGUGAUGAAGGGAGAAGAGGUAGGUGUUGAUGAAAGAGAAUUUUGAAUAGUUUACUUUGGAAUGAGCCAAUCUGGAAUUCAAAGUCGGAUUGGAUCAUAAAUGGAUUUGACCAUUCCCAUUCCAAAGUGGAAUGGUCGGAAUCCGAUUCCUGUAAAACAAAGGGUAACUAUCGGAAUCAAUGAAUUCCAUUCCGAUUCCAUAGUUUAAAAUAGGAGAACCAAACAUGCCCUAAAUGGAUUUGGCCAUUCUCAUUCCGGAGUGGAAUGGAAAUCGGAAUUUGAUUCCUAUAAAACAAACGGCAACUAUCGGAAUCAAUGAAUUCCAUUCAGAUUUCAUAGUUUAAAAUAGGUGAACCAAA
rnacentral:lncRNA from 1 species